rnacentral:sRNA from 1 species
UUUACCAGAUAAGCUUUUUAAAAAAUUAUGUUCAACAAUUAUCUUUUUAUUGUAGUUAAGUUUUUCAAAUUCUUGCUGUUUUCAAUAUCUCCUGGUUUCAUCAUCCCUACUGAGAAAUUACGUAUACAAUCUUAUAAUUAAUUGUUUGCUUUGGUCUUCUUUUAUUUUCCUGCUUUAUGAUAAAAUUUUCAUUAGCCUAAAUGUGUUAUUAAUUUUUCUUGUUUCUUAAAUAUUUGUUCAAUAUUAUAUUCACAACUUUAAGUUCAAAGGAUCAGUUUUCUGAACAGAUCUUCAUACACUAUAAAUUCCUUGUUGUAUGACCAUCUCUAAUAAUUUUAUUUUUAAUUUUUAGGUAAUGCCUGAUUAUAAUUUAAAUAAGGACGUUGACAAAAAUUAAUGAACCAUUUGCACAAAAAAUAUUUGAAUCAACAUUUAUUCACUCCUGGAAGAUAUUAAAUAUUUCAACAGAAUAUUCCAAUGGAUGGAACUUUUUCCAGCAUCUGGAUUAUUUUCCAGGUUAGACACAUGUUUGUCCACAGACUUGUCUUCUCUGAAUGAAAUCCAAAAGUUGUUUUUACUCCUAGAACCCUCAAAGCCUCUCUGUUUUUUGUCUAUCUAUUUUGCUCACUGUUGUUGAAUCUAUAUUCUUCAAAUGUGCCUUUACCAAGUCUCCAAAAUCACUGUGAGUAUAUGAUUCUCUGGGUAUGAGGUUGUGUAGUCAUGUCAAAUUAAAAUUUAAUAUUCCACAUACAGUCUGCACAGACAAAUAUAAGAAAUUUUGUAAUAACAUUUGUCUUGGUUAGUGUUGAUAGCUGAAUGCGAUUUCUUAUUCUACUGUGGAUCAAUAGAUCAAGAUUCCUUCAGAGAGGAAAGGCAAGUACCCAAAGGUUUUCUUCUAAUGACUGAAACACGUGGUCAGAAGACACACUAUUAACACUCGUCCUAAUAAUUUUUCAGCUAAAGAGUUGGGAAUGUAAGGAAAGGAAAUGGCUAGACUAUUCAAGAUUCUACUGGCAGAUUAUUUGUGAUGGUUGGUCUCUUUUUGCCUCCUAGAACAUUCAAGAGUACUUCAAGAUGCAAAGGAAAGAAGAGUUAAGAAAAGAAGGCCUUUCAUAACAUAUUGUUCCACAGGGGCUCUGAGCCCCACCAGGACAAAGUUUUCACAGUUGCUAGAGUUAACAAGACACGAAACCUACUAGGAAAAGACCUGACUUCUAUUUGCCAUGAUGGAAAACUCCCCACAGUAAUUCUGGAAUGUUUUAUGUUACUAUCUGCCUUAUGGACAAGAUCCUGCUUCUUAAAUGAACCCUAAUCUCUUCAAUUCCAUCAGCAUGAAGAGAAACAAUUGUGCAUCAAAUCAUUGGCUAUACAAUAAGGAUAUGCUGUCUCUCAACAAAGAAAAUGGAACCAAAACUGAGGGUAUAUUGGCAAUAUCACUAAACAUAGCAUCAUGUCAAACAAUAAAGAAGUUGGAUUGUGAAAAAGAUGUAAACAUAAAAACAAUCCAUCUGUGCAUAUGGUAGCAUGUAUCUUAAAGGAAUUACUUCAAAUUAUCAAAGGAAAUUUGCUGACAUCUAGACUAUAUGAAGAAUGACUUGGGGUACAUGACCAGGUCAAUGAAGAAGAGAAAGUAGCCACUGUGCAGAGGAUAUGCUGUUCUUCAUCCAAGAAAAGGGGCCCCAAAUUCAGGAUAUAUCCAUAAUUUCACACAACAUAGCAUCAUGAAGAAGUUGGAUUGUGAAGAAGAUGUAAACAUAAAAAAAUAAUCCAUCUGUGUAUAUGGUAGCAUGUAUCUUAAAGGUAAGGAAAGUCCUUGCAUCAUACACCCUCAGGAUUCUUCUCAAUCUAUUUGAGUAGUUUCCUUCAUUAUGCAUUCCCUUGAGUGGUAGUAGAUAACAUAUAAGAGAAAUCUGAUAAAAAAGCAAAAACAAAAACAAAAAGCUGUCAUAAUGAGCAGUAAUGUAACUAAGUAUCUUUCAUUUGAUUCUUCCACAAGUAUAUGGAGAGUCACUUCAUACAUGCAUAUGAGUUUCACCUGAUAUGCAUGCCUCCUCAGAUGCAUUUGUCUAAGAGUGUUCUUAAGGGUGUCACUCUCCUUUUUUUCUGAGAGGCAGGUUUCUCUUCCUAGGUAUAGAGCACGUGACUCCUUCAUGUAUAUCUUUGCUGUACAUACCCAGUAGAAUCUCUUGGUCUGCUUGUCCCUCUCACUCACAAAAUAUUGGUAUCCAAAUGAAGGUUCACAUGGCUAUGUAACACGUAUUCUUAAGUACUGGGCCAUUCCUUCAGCACCAUAAUUUUAUUGUUAUAUUUAAAAAUUAAAAUCAUUUCACUCCUCCCUAUUCCUUGCUCUAAUGUUGUUUCCCUUCAAUCUCCCACUUCUGAUAAAAUACAUUUUCUUUAACUGUUAUUUUGUAGAUACAAAUAAAUCCAUAAAUAUGUUCAAAUAACCUGAUGAGUCCAUUAUCCUUGUUAGUAUCUGUACUAUUUCCAAAGGAACCAACUGUGAUUGGCUUACAAAUUAGGGGGUUCAUUUUUGAGAAAGACCAAUUUCCUCACUCUUCAUAGUAUUUAUUUGCAUGUAGUUCCUUAUCUAAAAGUUUGACUUCAUGAGAUUUCCUCAUUUUGAUUUAGUGUUACUAACUUGGAUAAUGUUUUGUUUAGAACUUGCUUAAACAACCAGACUGUGGGACUAACAAAAGUGAAGCUUCUCCUGCAUUUCUCUGAGGCCCAAUCCCAAAGCAGAUAUCCUGAUCCUCUGGUAUACAAUCAUUCUGACUUUUUAAACAAAUUUUUGGAGCCCAAGGUUAAGGAGUUAGUAUGUAUAUGUAGGCAGUGGGGCAUGGAGCCACAGGAUAUUUUGUUCUUUGUACCUUGAAUACGUGCAGUUUUCAAUAGUCAUCAUCCAUUGCAAAAAGAAUCUCCUUCGAUGGAUGGGUAAGGACUACAUUAUCUGGGAAUAUCAUCUUAAACAAUUAGACUACAGUUAGGAACAUCAUGCUUGUUUAGUGAAAUGGUCACAGGAAUUUAAGAGCCACGACCUC